rnacentral:rRNA from 1 species
UACGUAGGGCGCAAGCGUUGUCCGGAAUUAUUGGGCGUAAAGAGCUCGUAGGCGGUCUGUCGCGUCGGAUGUGAAAGCCCGGGGCUUAACCCCGGGUCUGCAUUCGAUACGGGGCAGACUAGAGUGUGGUAGGGGAGAUCGGAAUUCCUGGUGUAGCGGUGAAAUGCGCAGAUAUCAGGAGGAACACCGGUGGCGAAGGCGGAUCUCUGGGCCAUUACUGACGCUGAGGAGCGAAAGCGUGGGGAGCAAACAGG